rnacentral:rRNA from 1 species
UCCGCAGGCGGUCAAUUAAGUCAGAGGUGAAAUCCCAUAGCUUAACUAUGGAACUGCCUUUGAUACUGGUUGACUUGAGUCAUAUGGAAGUAGAUAGAAUGUGUAGUGUAGCGGUGAAAUGCAUAGAUAUUACACAGAAUACCGAUUGCGAAGGGAGUAA